GAUGAACGCUAGCGGCAGGCCUAAUACAUGCAAGUCGAACGAUAGUUAAUCUUUCGGGAUUAACGAAAGUGGCGCACGGGUGCGUAACGCGUAUGCAACCUACCCUUAACUGGGGGAUAGCCCGAAGAAAUUCGGAUUAAUACCCCAUAGUGUCCUCAGACGGCAUCAGAAGAGGAUUAAAGAUUUAUUGGUUAAGGAUGGGCAUGCGUGACAUUAGUUAGUUGGUGAGGUAACGGCUCACCAAGACCACGAUGUCUAGGGGUUCUGAGAGGAUGAUCCCCCACACUGGUACUGAGAUACGGACCAGACUCCUACGGGAGGCAGCAGUAGGGAAUAUUGGUCAAUGGGCGGAAGCCUGAACCAGCCAUGCCGCGUGCAGGAAGACGGCCUUCUGGGUUGUAAACUGCUUUUAUACAGGAACAAAUAGUCCAUGCGUGGAAAGUUGAGUGUACUGUACGAAUAAGCACCGGCUAACUC
rnacentral:rRNA from 1 species